UACGUAGGGGGCAAGCGUUGUCCGGAUUUAUUGGGCGUAAAGAGCGUGUAGGCGGCCAGAUAGGUCUGCUGUGAAAACUCGAGGCUCAACCUCGAGAUGUCGGCAGAAACCAUUUGGCUAGAGUCCGGAAGAGGAGAGCGGAAUUCCUGGUGUAGCGGUGAAAUGCGCAGAUAUCAGGAAGAACACCCGUGGCGAAGGCGGCUCUCUGGGACGGUACUGACGCUGAGACGCGAAAGCGUGGGGAGCGAACAGG
rnacentral:rRNA from 1 species